rnacentral:rRNA from 1 species
UACGGAGGGUGCAAGCGUUAUCCGGAUUCACUGGGUUUAAAGGGUGCGUAGGCGGUCAUUUAAGUCAGUGGUGAAAUACCUGAGCUUAACUUGGGAACUGCCAUUGAUACUAUUUGUCUUGAAUGUCGUGGAGGUUAGCGGAAUAUGUCAUGUAGCGGUGAAAUGCUUAGAUAUGACAUAGAACACCUAUGGCGAAGGCAGCUAACUACGCGAAUAUUGACGCUGAGGCACGAAAGCGUGGGGAGCAAACAGG